AGGGAGUUAUGGAGGGUUUGCUAGAAGACUUGAGAGACCGUUUGCUGCAAAAUGUGAUACAGUAUCGUCUUCAGAAAACAAUUCAUCAACAACAUCAAAACGAACAAUGAAAAGAAAACCUGCAGAUGCCAGCGUUGUUAUACGACAAAGAAUUUUCACGAUUUCAAGCAAUGACACAAACACAAGUGAGAUUUCAGCAGCGUCAAUCCAAUCUGCUCCCGACGUUACUAGAGGCAAAAGCCUAGAUGUGUGCUUAUCGCGCAAGGGUAGCUCACUACCGGGAGAUCUUCACUUAUAAUUAGAUUCAAGUGCAACAAAUUGAGAAGUGAUUCAACCAGUCUAGAUGAUGACUCUACAAGAGUUGGUUUGAAAAUAAUUCCAUUGAAUCGUCUCAGUGUGAAAGUUAUGACAAUUUUAGGAUACUAAAUGUUUUAACAAUGUUAAGAUAAUGUGAUUGGGUUUUAUCUAUAACUUUCUGUUAGACAGUCACAUGUAUUUGCUAGUCGUAGACUAAACCGUUGAGAUAAGUGAGUGAAUUCUAGCUGUAGUCAUUCUCUAGUUUAGUACUGCUGCCUAAAUAAAGAGGAAGUAAA